GGGUUUUGGCGAUCAGAGAUUUCUGAGAGAAAAACAAGAGAGAUGGGUAGCGUCUGAAUCCAACCAAAAAACAAAAUUCCGGGAAAUUAUGGGGUGAGUGAGAAAAUGGGCGUGAGAAAAUUGUGGGUGUGUUAAUUGUGUGUUUGAAUUCCCUUACAAUUCUCCGAUCUUACAUUUGCCUGAAACUUCUCUAGCGUUUCGAUUUCGGUGCGUUCAGAUUACAUCUUUGAGGACUUUUACUUCGGGUUUCUGAGAGCUGCAGUUGGUGAAGUGUAUAUUUGUUUAAAGAAGGUUGUACAGUUCUGGUUCUUUGUGGUUGAUGUGCUCAUCGUGGUAUGAUUUUGGAGAAAUGGCGUUGCAAAAGAGGUUGGAUUACGGGUUCAAUGGCUUUCAGGUGCCGGUCACCCCUCGAGCUCCAAGAUCAGCGAGGAGAAGGAGUGCAAUUAGCAAGAGAUUCGAAGACAAUCCAAUGGGCGCAUUUGACUUAUUGGCCACCGUAGCUGGCAAGUUAUUGCUCGAGGGAGAGAGUUCUGCUGCUUCCAGUCAUACAUCAACUGAAAAGAAAAGUGUACAAUCGUUAAUGAAAGUUGUCUGGAUGGAGACAAGCCACUGAAAGUGGAACCUUCUGAUCAAGGUAGCUGUGACAGGAAGUUCUUCGUAUCUGAUAAUAUCUCACAGGGUCAUAAUCAAAGUUGCAGCUCAAAGGAGUCUCCAGUUCAUCAGAAUGAAAGCCAUUCUGUAAUGACUACUUCUAAUUGCUCGGAGAGGUUUGUUUCUGAUAUGCUGGUGGGUGGAAAAUGUAAGAACGAAAUAGGAAGUUUUACUAGUAAAAUACAGGCAGGCUUCUCAAUGUACAGGGAGUCUGGUGAAUGUAAAUUAGAUGGUGAAGCUAAAGUAAUAGUAAAAGAUGAGACUAAUAAGAGGGGUAAGGUGCUAAUUGGUACUGGGGCUGACAAUGUGGAGGACCCUAUGGUCUGGGAAGGGGAACCUCCUGCACUAGUCAGUUCAGACAGUAGUACCAAGGUGCCUAUUUGUGUAGACCAUAUACCUCAGAAACCUAUCCCUGCUAGCAGGGAUGAUAUAAAAGUAGUUAGUAGAGAUGAUGACGAAAAUUCCUCUGGGUGUACUCACCCUAGUACCACCACAAGGUAUCUAAGGACAGCGCCACGCAUUGGUGAUCGAAGAAUAAGGAAGAUUUUGGCUUCCAGGUAUUGGAAAGCAACUCCAAAGAUGAAGGAUGAAGCACAUUCUAAUUCUUAUAGGGAUAUGCGACCUAUGUACCAUGGCAGGAAGAAUGGUUACAAACGCCAGAGAUCUCAGAUGACUGUGCCUUUUAAGAAGAGGAGGCUGUUUGAUCGUAGCACAGUUGGGAAAUCUGAUGGAGGUAUUACUAGUGAGAGCUUCUUUGACUCAGCCAAUGCAGUAUCUUCUUCAGUAGCAGGUCAACAUUCAGCUUUCCAAUCUAGGAAUUCUCAUGUGAAACUCAGGAUCAAGUCUUUCAGGGUGCCAGAACUAUUUAUUGAAAUUCCAGAGACGGCAACCGUUGGUUCUUUGAAGAAGACAGUUAUGGAUGCAGUAACAGCUGUACUUGGUGGUGGGUUGUGUGUUGGUGUACUUCUUCAGGGUAAGAAAGUAAGAGAUGACUCUAAAACUCUCCAGCAGACGGGGAUUUCUCAAGAUGAUCAGCUAGAUUCUUUGGGAUUUACUUUGGAACCUAACCCUUCCCACACUCCCACACCGUUGUGUUCUGGAGAUUCGCCCCGUAUGCUUCCCUGCGAUGCACUUCAGCCUUUAAUAAGGUAUGCACCUGAUCCUAGUAGUGAAGCCUCACUCGAACCUCAUAUGGCUGCUUUAGGAAGCUUCAUCGAAAGUGAUCAUGAUUCAGCACCUUCUCCGACCGAUACCUCCACAACAGAUUCUAAAGCGCUGGUUGUUGUGCCCGGAAUGAGUGCAGAGGCACUUGCUGUAGUUCCUGGGAACAGGAAAUCAAAGCGGUUUGAUAUUGGGCAGCGCCGAAUUCGUCGACCUUUCUCUGUUUCUGAAGUGGAAGCACUUGUCCAGGCGGUUGAGAAACUUGGUACUGGAAGGUGGCGUGAUGUUAAGAUGCGAGCUUUUGAAAAUGCCAAGCAUCGAACUUAUGUGGAUUUGAAGGAUAAGUGGAAAACACUAGUGCACACGGCAAGAAUAUCUCCUCAACAAAGGAGAGGUGAGCCUGUCCCCCAGGAACUCUUGGACCGUGUCCUAACCGCGCAUGCUUACUGGUCCCAGCAGCAAGCUAAACAACAGCUCAAACAUCCCGAGAGCUGCGUUCUGGUCUGAUCAAAAAUAGAAUGGGAAAAAUUGGUUGGGGUUUAGAAGGGGUAUGUCUAGAAGUUUCGAAUUAGUGUUUUCUUUGUAUCUUUGUUAAUGAUGUAAAAAAAGUAAUCUACAAAAAGGAGUAUAAUUUGAAGAAAAGGUAUGUAAUAUCUGUGGGUGGUUCUUUCUUUCUUUGCCUCCGGUACUUUCCCUGAAUGGAGAGGCUGGGGUUUUGUAAAUGGUUGACUGAAUAAGAAGAGGAGAGAUUGCUGACAGAAUUCUUUCAGAAACCCAAAGAUGUUGGUGUUUCCCUGAUGUUUUUUCAUUGUUCAUUUCCGUUGAAGAAGAAGUAGGAAUCGAAGCUGCUACAGUUCGUGGAGCUUUGGUACGGUAGUCUGUAAUUUUCCUUUAGUUACUUGGGCAUUGAUGCAAUGCAGUUACUUUCAUGUAAUAUUGUUUCAAUUUGCAAUAGAGAUAUAUAAUUUGAG